AAAGGAAUAGACGGGGGCCCGCACAAGCGGCGGAGCAUGUGGCUUAAUUCGAGGCAACGCGAAGAACCUUACCUGGGUUGAACUACGUGGGAAAAGCCGUAGAGAUACGGUGUCCGAAAGGGUCCACGAUAGGUGGUGCAUGGCUGUCGUCAGCUCGUGUCGUGAGAUGUUGGGUUAAGUCCCGCAACGAGCGCAACCCUUGUCCUAUGUUGCCAGCGGGUAAUGCCGGGGACUCGUAGGAGACUGCCGGGGUCAACUCGGAGGAAGGUGGGGAUGACGUCAAGUCAUCAUGCCCCUUACGUCCAGGGCUGCACACAUGCUACAAUGGCCGGUACAGAGGGCUGCUAUCCCGCGAGGGUGAGCGAAUCCCAAAAAGCCGGUCUCAGUUCGGAUUGUAGUCUGCAACUCGACUGCAUGAAGUCGGAGUCGCUAGUAAUCCCGGAUCAGCAACGCCGGGGUGAAUACGUUCCCGGGCCUUGUACACACCGCCCGU
rnacentral:rRNA from 1 species